CUGUUCUGCAAAAGAACAAGGUUUUGUUUUUCUGGAAAGUAAAGAAGAUUCAAUUAUCCCACAUCGGUUGGAAACUACUUGAAUGUUGGGUUAGUGAGCUACAUAACAGGAAGGUAUGACAACAAGCUCCAUACUUACCUGGACGGGGUCAAUGGGCGAUCAAGAAGACCCAUGGCCUAGAUUGGCGACCUCCAUUGCACUUAGGAGGGGCGCCCGUCUAAGGUCGGCCCAAGUGGUCGAGCCUACGUCAUAAUUUGUGGUAGAGGGGGCCUGCGUUCGCGCGGCCCCUGCCCAAUUCAAGUUUUGAAGUUUUAUCCCAAUUCUAUUUUUGCAGGCCCAUAAGAUUACUUAACGGGCCUGUUCAGGUUAGGUCUAGGUGUCAUGAGGCACAAGGCGAGUGGACUUUUGCUGAUAAUUAUGGUCAUAAGACUUCAAUGUUUCCCAGAUGAUACUAGGGCAGCAGAUUAUCGUAAUGAAUAGAGGUUUCAAUUCUGAGGUGCUACAACGUGCGUGAAGGGCAGCUCAGAUGCAAUUUCAAAUCAUAGCCGCCAAGACCCUGUAUCGAAGAGAUUGAGAAUGCCAUAUAUGUGUAAUCAACAACGCGGAAGCACAAGAAUGCCUUCUGUUGGAGGAUAUCUCUCUUGAAGUGCCGCCGCAAAGCUCUUCUCUGUUCUGCGACAAGUAAAGAAGAACUUGGUUUUGUUUUCUGCACACUAAGAUACGGCAGUAGACUAGUAGUACAAAGGGGAAAACAUUUCAAUAGAUUCAUUCAUCCCACAUCGAUUGGAAACUCACUAAACAUUGGAUUAGGGGCUAUAUACCUGGAAGUCAGGACAACUUGAUACAUACUUACCUGGACGGGGUCGAUGGGCGAUCAAGAAGGCCCAUGGCCUAGAUUGGUGACCUCCAUUGCACUUAGGAGGGGCACCCGUCUAAGGUCGGUCCAAGUGGUCGAGCCUACGUCAUAAUUUGUGGUAGUGGGGGCCUGCGUUCGCGCGGCCCCU